UGGUCUAUGGUGUAACUUGGCAGCACGACUGAGUUCUGGUUCAGUUAGUCUUGGUUCGAGUCCAGGUAGACCAG
rnacentral:tRNA from 1 species